AGGGGCGGAGGAGAGGAGCUGAAGGGAGCUGAGGACACCGUAGGUGUCUGGAUGGUAACAAUGACAAUAAAAAUAGCUCACUUCUCUACGCCCCUUUACCGCGUACGGAAUUCUCUGCUCACAGUUUCCGUGUAAUUAUCCUCAAGAGAAAACUCAGUUCUAGAGAGGUGAAGGGACUCAGUUUCCUUUUCUGUCAAGCGAGAGGCAGCAUCUCUGGGCUCCGGCAUCCCAGCCUCCAAGCGGAGGGGAUGACGGGGAAACUGAGGCCUGAAGAGGGGAAGUGACUUUGCUGGAGUUCCCCCAGUGGCAGAGCCCAGAUGGAGCCCAACUCACCUGUGCCUCCUUUUCUUAGGUGACAGGCAUUACCAACUGGGAUAAAGUAAUUUAUAAUAAGAUAUUAAAAACCUGAUAUGCCACUCUU